CUCAUCCUCGCCUUCGUCACCUUCGUCUUCAUCAUCUUCAUCAUCCUGGCCUUCAUCAUCCUCAUCAUCCUCCUGAGCUUCAUCAUCAUCCUCAUCGUCCUCGUCCUGACCUUCAUCAUCCUCCUCGUCCUGACCUUCAUCAUCAUCGUCGUCAUCCUGUCCUUCAUCACCAUCGUCUUCAUCAGCCCCGGGAAGGGAAUUCACCGUCACCUUCAUCACCUUCAUCAUCCUCACCUUCAUCUUCCUCGCCUGGGGAUGGGAGAGCUUCGUCGUCUUCAUCGUCUUCACCUUCAUCAUCCUCGCCGCGAAACGAGAGGGGGAGGCCUUCGUCGUCAUCAUCAUCAUCCUCCCCUUCCUGAGCCUUUGGCCUCGUCGGGUUGGGUUUCCUCCUCCUCCUCAGGGGGGUGAGGGACCCUCAUCAUCCUCGCUGUGAAAUGAGGGGCCUUCAUCCUCCUCCUCCUCCUCCUCCUCCUGAGCCUUCGGCCUCGCCGCCUUUGGGUUUCUCUCCCUCCUCUUCCUCUUCCUCCCCUCCCCUCCCCCCAAAAUCGGCGCUGUCGGAGGGACCCCCCCCAAAAAAACCCCAAAAAUCCCCAAAUUUGGGGGUUCGGCCCCAAAAUAAACAAAAAAACCCCAAAAUUGGGAAAAUUUGGAGCUUUUGCCCCCCAAAAAUCCCAAAAUUUGAGGGGUUUGCCCCCAAAAAAAAGGGAAAAUUUGGGGUUUCCUCCCAAAAAGCCCCAAAAUUGGGGAAAUUCGGGGCCCCUCCCCCAAUAAAGGAAAUGCUCUGGAAUUUUGGGGUUUUGGUGCCUUUUUUGGGGGAAAAAAGGGAAUUUUUGGGUAAAAAAUGGGAUUUUUGGGUAAAAAAUGGGAAUUUUUGGGUGAAAAUAUGGAAAUUUUUGGGUUUGGGGAGGAUUUUUGGGGUGAAAAAAGGGAAUUUUGGGGAGAAAAUGGGAAUUUUUGGGGUGAAAAAUGGGAAUUUUUGGGGUUCCUGGAGAUAUUCUGGGGGAAAAAUUGGGAAUUUUUGGGGGUAAAAAAUGGAGAUUUGGGGAAAAAAGGGAAUUUUCUGAGUGAAAAAUGGAAAUUUUGGGGGUUCCAGGAGGAAUUUUGGGGAAAUAUGGAAAUUUGGGG
rnacentral:lncRNA from 1 species